rnacentral:rRNA from 2 species
AUAUCAAUAAGCGGAGGAAAAGAAACCAACAGGGAUUGCCCCAGUAACGGCGAGUGAAGCGGCAACAGCUCAAAUUUGAAAUCUGGCCCCCCCCGGGGGCCCGAGUUGUAAUUUGCAGAGGAUGCUUUUGGCGAGGCGCCUUCCGAGUUCCCUGGAACGGGACGCCGCAGAGGGUGAGAGCCCCGUCUGGUCGGACGCCAAGCCAGUGUAAAGCUCCUUCGACGAGUCGAGUAGUUUGGGAAUGCUGCUCUAAAUGGGAGGUAUAUGUCUUCUAAAGCUAAAUAUUGGCCAGAGACCGAUAGCGCACAAGUAGAGUGAUCGAAAGAUGAAAAGCACUUUGAAAAGAGGGUUAAACAGUACGUGAAAUUGUUGAAAGGGAAGCGCUCGUGACCAGACUCGGGCCCGGCGGAUCAUCCGGCGUUCUCGCCGGUGCGCUCCGCCGGGCCCGGGCCAGCAUCAGCUCGCCGCGGGGGACAAAGGCUUCGGGAACGUGGCUCCCACGGGAGUGUUAUAGCCCGCUGCGCAAUGCCCCGGGGCGGGCUGAGGUUCGCGCUCCGCAAGGAUGCUGGCGUAAUGGUCACCAGCGACCCGUCUUGAAACACGGACC